UGAGCUGGUUCAGUGUGACUGUGAGUCAGGCCUGUGCUGCUCGGGAGCCCCCUCCUCCCGGCAGGCAGGCCUGGGGCGGUGGGGUGGACGCUGCCCUCUGCCCCUAGUCUCCCUGCUCUCAGAGCCUCCCUGGGGCUGCCUCCCCCUCAAAUGGGAGGCCGCAGAGGGCCCUGGGGCUGGCCAGUGCGCCCCUUCCCACCAGAGCCUCGCCCCUACCUGCGGCCAGCAGCCCCUCCUGAGAGCCCCGUGGCUCAGGCCUCUUCCCCCUUCCCACAGCUGGGUGGGGGUGGGGGGGCGGGUGCAGCUGGCUGAGGAGCCUGAUGACUUCCUGCCUUCACCCGGGGCUCACCACAGCUUCCUGCUGCGGGUGGCGGGCCAGCGGGUGUGGAGGAGAGGCAGGCGCCGAGCCGAGGGGCAGGGACGCCUGGGGCACAGGGACCACACAGGGCGACUGGUGCCCCAGACCCCAGCCCGGGCCCUGGUCCACCCAGGACCAGGGUCUCAGAGCCGGCACCCAGCCCCACUCAGUCCAGCAAGGGGAGGUGGUCCCGGAGCCCCCGGGAGGACACAGCUGCUCACCAGGACCCCCCGUGGGGGGCCCUCUUGGUCCCUACACACCGCUGCAGCUGAGCCGAGAGGGGCCUGUGGGGCAGCCGGCCCGGCGCAGGCGCCCUCCUGCAGAUGGAGGUGGCCGGCCUGACCCCCUACCCGCUGGGCCUCCUGCUGCUGCCCCUCCUGGCCAUGCUGCUGAUAGCCCUGUGCGUGCGCUGCCACGAGCCGCCCGGUGAGUGGGGAGCUGGCGGGGACCCCAAGGGAGGCCCUGACCCAGGCCCCAGGCCCCAGCCCUCUUCACCGUCCCCACCUCAGCUGUUCCCCGGGACGCAGGGCCCCCGGGCCCCGGCACCUGUCCCUCUGCACCCCUGCCCCAUCUCACCUGGCCUGUCUCCCCAGACUCCUACGACAGCGCUCCCGCAGACAGGUGAGUCGUGCGCCCGCCUUCCCCCUGCCCUGGGGCUGGGGCCGGCCUCUUGGCCACUCACCGGCUGUGUCUCUCCUCCCAGUUCAAACCCCACGAGCAUCCUGAUCAAACCUCCCUACACGCCAGUUCCCUGGCCACCUGCCGCCCACUACCCACCUGUUAUCUCCUACCCACCUCCAAGCCAGCCAGACCUGCUCCCCAUCCCGAGAUCCCCGCAGCCCCCUGUGGGUUCCCACCGGAUGCCACCCUCCCAACAGGAUUCAGAUGGUGCUAACAGUAUGGCGAGCUACGAGAACCAGGGUGCGUCUGGGAUCUCGCGUCCCCGGGCUAGGUGGGGCAGCUGGCAUCUGUCCCAGGUCAUGCUGACCCCUGUGUCAUUGUCCCCAGAGCCAGCCUGUGAGGACGCAGAUGAAGAUGAUGAGGAGGACGACUAUCACAACUCGGGCUACCUGGUGGUGCUUCCUGACAGCACCCCAGCCACUGGCACUGCUGUCCCCUCAGCUCCUGUGCCCAGUGACCCUGGCCUCCGUGACAGCACCUUCUCCAGUGAGUUCAGUAUUUCUGUGUACCUCCUUUGCCCCGUGUGCCACCUGGCCUUCUUCUCUUCCCUCUCCCAUUUCUUUAAUGAUGGCUCCCCUUCUGUUCUCUCAUUCAUAUGUUGGACUUCCUGUUCCGAUUUGACUUUCUUUUUUUUUUUUUUUUUUACCUUUUAUCUCCCCUUUGUCUUUUUCCUAUGCAAUCAUUGUCUGAGAGAUUUCCUGACUCUCUUCUUCAAUCCUUCUACUGCAACUUCCUUUCUCCCAUCCGAAGGUCUUUCCUGGACUCUGAGUGUUCUUUUUGUAUAGCUUCCUGUUCUUGUUUCUUUUUCUUUUUUCUUGUACUGGGGAUUGAAUCCGGGGCCUCACCCAUAUUAGCAAGUACUAAUAGAGGCCAUAGCAUCUUGCAAAUCUCUAAGAAUAUUAACUAGAGGUGGUCUUUUUUUUUCUUUUUCUGGAGAUUUUCUUCUGUUUCCUGCAUCGUCUCGGUUUCUUUUGAGCCACCUUUCUCCUUUCCUGGUCUCAUUGCAGGGCUUUCUGUUCCUAUCCCCUCUCUGGACUAGUUGAGUAUCCCUCAUCAGAAACACUUGGGACCAGAAUGUUUUGGGUUUGGGAAUAUUUGCAUAUACCUAAGGUGGUAUCUUGGGGAUGGGACCCAAGUCUAAGCAUGAAAUUCCUUUAUGUUUUAACGUAUACCUUGUUUCCAUAGCCUGAAGGUAAUUUGAUACAAUAUUUAAAAUAACUGUACAAAAAACUAAGUUUCAUGGUGUGCAAUUUUCCACUUGUGGUAUUAUGUUGGCACCCAAAAGAUUUUGGAUUUUGGAGCUUUUUUAGAUAUUGGGUUUUGGAUUAGGGAUGCUCAGUCUAUAUGUACUUGAACUGGGCUGUCGCUGCCAUGCCUGGCUCCACUUGCCGUUCAGAUUUCCAAUGUGCCACCUCUCUUCUGGGCUGCAGACCGUCUGUCCGAAUGCUCUCAUUUAUUCACUCACUCACUCCUUCGUUCAUUCACUUAUCGGGCAUGUGUGCUGGGCUCACAUCAGGAUGGACGAGUUAAUGAGGCAGGCUGGGACGAUAGAAGGACUAUCACUUACUGAAGGCCUACUAUGUGUCCUACGAAGGGUCGUAUGUGUAUAAUGGCCAGGUGCUCUAGUGUCCGUCCCUUCCCCUCCAGCCCCUCAGUACCAGGGCAGGGUUUAUUUAUUUGUUUUUACUUAUUUUGAGAAAACCUCCCUAUGGUGUCCAGGCUGGCCUUGAAUCCCUGGGUUCAAGCCAUCCUCUUGCCUCGGCCUCCUGGGUAGCUGGACUCGGGGUGAACUGAUUAGCAGCCAUUAGGCAGGGCUUCCCGCAUGACAGGCCCCGUCCUAUUACCUCUGCUUCAAUCCCUACAACUCUGCGAGGCAAAUCCCUUCCUGAUCCUGUUUCACAGUUGAGGAGACAGGCACAGAGAGGUGACAUAACUUAUCUGAGGUCACACAACAGUUCCUUAGUGCCGGAUCAAGGUUUGAACCUGGGCGGGCUGUCUGCAAGGUCACCUUGUCCACGUCCUCAUGGAGAAACAUGAGAGAACCAGACAGCAUGGGGGAUGAGGGACAGUGCUUCAGAACAUUCCCUGCGUCCCUGUGCAGCUGACUGGCGGUGGGGUGUCCUGGGAGCCUCAGGGUGUCCCUGAGGCCCUGGACAUCUGAACUGGGGGGCUCCAGGAAUCUGUGACUGAAGGUGUCUAAUGGCAGUGGUGGGGGCGGGUGGCCCGUGGCUUCCCACAGUGGAAGAUUACGUGAACGUUCCUGAGAGCGGCGAGAGCGCAGAGGCGUCUCUGGAUGGGAGCCGGGAGUACGUGAAUGUGUCCCAGGAGCUGGAGUCGGAGGCUCCAGCCAAGCCUGCUCCCCUGAGCUCCCAGGAAGAGGGGGAUGA